rnacentral:rRNA from 1 species
AAACGUCUCAGUUCGGACUGUGGUCUGCAACCCGACCACACGAAGCUGGAAUCGCUAGUAAUCGUGAAUCAGAAUGUCACGGUGAAUACGUUCCCGGGUCUUGUACACACCGCCCGUCACACCAUGGGAGUCAGCAACGCCCGAAGUCAGUGACCUAACCGAGAGGGAGGAGCUGCCGAAGGCGGGGCCGGUAACUGGGGUGAAGUCGUAACAAGGUAUC